rnacentral:rRNA from 1 species
GAUGAACGCUAGCUACAGGCUUAACACAUGCAAGUCGAGGGGAAACGGCAUUAAGUGCUUGCACUUUUUGGACGUCGACCGGCGCACGGGUGAGUAACGAGUAUCCAACCUUCCCAUGACUAAGGGAUAACCUGCCGAAAGGCAGACUAAUACCUUAUGGUCUUCACUGACGGCAUCAGAUGUGAAGUAAAGAUUUAUCGGUCAUGGAUGGGGAUGCGUCUGAUUAGCUUGUUGGCGGGGUAACGGCCCACCAAGGCAACGAUCAGUAGGGGCUCUGAGAGGAAGGUCCCCCACAUUGGAACUGAGACACGGUCCAAACUCCUACGGGAGGCAGCAGUGAGGAAUAUUGGUCAAUGGGCGAGAGCCUGAACCAGCCAAGUAGCGUGCAGGAAGACGGCCCUAUGGGUUGUAAACUGCUUUUGUAUGGGGAUAAAGUCAAUCACGUGUGAUUGUUUGCAGGUACCAUACGAAUAAGGACCGGCUAAUUCCGUGCCAGCAGCCGCGGUAAUACGGAAGGUCCGGGCGUUAUCCGGAUUUAUUGGGUUUAAAGGGAGCGUAGGCUGGAGAUUAAGUGUGUUGUGAAAUGUAGACGCUCAACGUCUGACUUGCAGCGCAUACUGGUUUCCUUGAGUACGCACAACGUUGGCGGAAUUCGUCGUGUAGCGGUGAAAUGCUUAGAUAUGACGAAGAACUCCGAUUGCGAAGGCAGCUGACGGGAGCGCAACUGACGCUGAAGCUCGAAGGUGCGGGUAUCGAACAGG